rnacentral:rRNA from 1 species
AUUGAACGCUGGCGGAAUGCUUUACACAUGCAAGUCGAACGGUAGAGGGGGCAACCCCUCGAGAGUGGCGAACGGGUGAGUAAUAUAUCGGACCGUGCCCAGUCGUGGGGGAUAACGUAGCGAAAGUUACGCUAAUACCGCAUACGAUCUACGGAUGAAAGCGGGGGAUCGCAAGACCUCGCGCGAUUGGAGUGGCCGAUAUCAGAUUAGGUAGUUGGUGGGGUAAAGGCUCACCAAGCCAACGAUCUGUAGCUGGUCUGAGAGGACGACCAGCCACACUGGAACUGAGACACGGUCCAGACUCCUACGGGAGGCAGCAGUGGGGAAUUUUGGACAAUGGACGCAAGUCUGAUCCAGCCAUUCCGCGUGCAGGAUGAAGGCCCUCGGGUUGUAAACUGCUUUUGUACGGAACGAAAAGGUUUCCAUUAAUACUGGGAGCUCAUGACGGUACCGUAAGAAUAAGCACCGGCUAACUACGUGCCAGCAGCCGCGGUAA